AUUGAACGCUAGCGGGAUGCUUAACACAUGCAAGUCGAACGGAGUGGCUGACGGGUGAGUAAUAUAUCGGAACGUGCCCAAUAGCGGGGGAUAACUACUCGAAAGAGUGGCUAAUACCGCAUACUAUGAGAGCGACCCAUAUCGGAUUAGCUAGUUGGUGGGGUAAAGGCUCACCAAGGCAAAGAUCCGUAGCUGGUUUGAGAGGACGACCAGCCACACGUGGACUGUGACACGGCCCAGACCCCUACGGUAGGCAGCAGUGGGGAAUUUUGGACAAUGGGGUCAACCCUGAUCCAGUCAUCCAGCGUGUAUGAUGAAGGCCUUCGGGUUGUAAAGUACUUUUGGCAGAGAAGCGGUAUCUGCAGAAUAAGCACCGGCUAACUACGUGCCAGCAGCCGCGGUAAUAC
rnacentral:rRNA from 1 species